GAAAAGAAAUGUGUACAUCUUCAGUAAACUCAUCAGGGUGGAUCUGGAGCCAAUACUAGCGCAAGAGAUGUGCAUACACAGGAUUAUGGAUUGGCACCCUGUCCAGGGUGUACCCCGCCUUGUGCCCGAUGCUCCCUGGGAUAGGCUCCAUGUUCCCCCGUGACCCUGAAGAAGGAUAAGCAGUAUAGAAGAUGGAUGGAUGGAUACACAGGAUUGUUGAUGUUUUCUUUUAUCAUACUUGCACAAUAGCCUUUAAGAAGAACAAAAGAAGAAAAUACUGAAAUUAUUCUCAUGCCUGGAUCAGGAAGCUGUCGCAAGGUUGUGAUGGACUUUAAGAGGAGACGUGGGCAGAGAUUUUGCAGCAAGUAGAUGGCAAGAAGGUCCUUUUUACCAAAAUUGAAUUCUGUCCUGGAUCAAAGGUCAGCUUUUCCUCUUCUCACCCUUGUCUGGGUGAGAUUGCUCUGCGAGUUGGCAUAUACAGUUCACGGCUGUGUACUGGGGCUGAUGCAAGCGGCAGUGAGAUUGAAGGUCAUAGACACAAACACGGACAACAGAACUGUUUCCCCAACUUGAAGUCUUGCUCAAUUUAUCAGUUAUCAUAAGACUUGUAUCCCCAUCCACAUGUCUGUGUGUAUGUGUGUUCCAUCAAAGCACAAUUUUCUGUACCAGAUUAAGGUCCAUGGAGUGAUUCUACAUUCAGACCCAGGUGACAGACAGCUUAGAGAUGGCAACAGGAAAGACUGGAAUGCUAAAAAAAAAAAAAGAUGACCCCAUCUCAUAAAUCUGCAGAUGUUUACCAUCUAGGCUUCACUGAGUAAUCGAUACAGUUGUAUAAAGGACAGCCGACUUGUCUGUGGAUGCAAUUAAUGACCCCAGAGAGGUUAGCCUGCAAUAGAAGCGUGGCUGUGCUGGAGAUUUAAAUAAAUGCCAGACAGGUCUGAGAUCAGGGGCUGAUUGGAAAUAAAUGAAAGAGUUGCAUUAAGAAAUGUCAGAGGCUGAAUUGGUCUAUGCCUUUUAAUGAAGGCUUUGAUAAAAUGGAGAGGCGGUGGUUGUAGUGGGACCGGGCCUUGGCAACCAUUGAGCCGGUAAUUGGUGGUGUAAGGCUAACAAAAAUGCGAUAAGGGAAGGUAGUGAACACAGGUGUUUGACCAUGGGCGAUUCAUCAGAUGGAUUUAGUUACCUAAAAGUAAAUUGGCCUAAUAGAGGAGUAAAAUAAGUAAGGUGUGCUAUAAUUAAACAGCAUUGACUUGCAGUUCAAUAUACUGUAUCCACUAAAGAAAUGCAACUUAGUAGCAAACUUUUAGCCCAGGGCUCAAAGAGCAUUUUAGUUUGCAGAGCCAAAUUAAAAA
ensembl:lncRNA